CGUGGUCCCACCUGAUCCCAUCCCGAACUCAGCAGUGAAACGCGCAUGCGCCGAUGGUAGUGUGGCUUGUCCAUGCAAGAGUAGGUCACCGCCAGGG
rnacentral:rRNA from 1 species